UGCCCAGCAACUCCUAUCCCUACCUCCUCGCGGUAUUGGCCGGGGUACGAGUAACCUUAGGGAAGAUCGGGUAACCAACCCCCGGUGGGAACUUUGGUCGUAUGCUGACAGGGAAGG
rfam:Aedes aegypti strain Liverpool supercont1.89 genomic scaffold, whole genome shotgun sequence.